UUGCCCUACGGGACGCAGCAGUGAGGAAUAUUGGUCAAUGGUCGGGAGACUGAACCAGCCAAGCCGCGUGAGGGAUGAAGGUACAGAGUAUCGUAAACCUCUUUUGUCAGGGAACAAAGGCGGGGACGCGUCCCCGGAUGAGUGUACCUGAAGCAAAAGCAUCGGCUAACUCCGUGCCAGCAGCCGCGGUAAUACGGAGGAUGCGAGCGUUAUCCGGAUUUAUUGGGUUUAAAGGGUGCGCAGGCGGACUGGUAAGUCAGCGGGCCAAGCCCGGGGCUCAACCCCGGCCCGCCGUUGAAACUGGG
rnacentral:rRNA from 1 species